UACGGAGGGUGCAAGCGUUAUCCGGAUUCACUGGGUUUAAAGGGUGCGUAGGUGGGCAAGUAAGUCAGUGGUGAAAUCUCCGGGCUUAACCCGGAAACUGCCAUUGAUACUAUUUGUCUUGAAUACUGUGGAGGUCAGCGGAAUAUGUCAUGUAGCGGUGAAAUGCUUAGAUAUGACAUAGAACACCAAAUUGCGAAGGCAGCUGGCUACACAAAUAUUGACACUGAGGCACGAAAGCGUGGGGAUCAAACAGG
rnacentral:rRNA from 1 species